rnacentral:lncRNA from 1 species
GUGGGAUCUAUUGUUUCCUGGCACAUUGGGAGGAAAAACAAAGGGAUUUAUUUUCAUUACCCUGUAAUUUUUUUUCUUUUCUAUUUUUUUAAAUGUGGCCAGGGAGCUCGUCUCUCUCCGUGUCACACUGGGAUCCGCCUGGCAGCCGCCGGGAGCCGCAGCCAAUGUGUUAGGACUUCAGGUGCUUCUUGGCACAAAGCUAGACUGCGACCUCCUACCAUAGCGCUUGGCGUCACCUGCUCUCCCGGUCCUGCCCCAGGGCCGAGGGAUUGCGUCCCGAACCGGGCUUGGGAAUCGGCUGCCUCUCAAAUGAACCUCUAGUCUUGCUUUGAAAAAAACAUUCUCUGUAACUCUUGACUGUGACUAAGUUCCUAAUACACCUGUUGGCACGAUUGCUAACACAGUAUACCAUUUGAGAGGUACUUUUCUUGACCCAAUACUGGUGAUUAGAGAAGACAGGUAUCUUGGUUUUUUGUUUUUUCUUUGAUCAUUAUGAACAUUGGC